rnacentral:lncRNA from 1 species
GCAGAAAUAUAAUAAAGGGGUUCGUGCAAUUCGUUUUAAAGAGAAUGGAAUCUUUUUGUGCCUUAACCACCAAACUGUGUGAUCAAAUCGUCAAGAUUUCAGGAUUCGAAUAAAAAUUAUUAAUAUUUUAAAACGUAAUAAAAGGAUACAAAGGGCUUCAUGUUUUGCUCUUGCCUAGGGCUUCUCCGACUUUGGACCGGCCCUGCAACCACCUUUACACUGUCGAACCGGUAAUAAAACCAAUUAUUAUUGUUAUUAUUUAUUGAAAAAGAAAAAUAAACAAAAUUACAUAUUAUAUAUAUAUUAGCUAGCAUAUAUAUAAAUUAUAUAUAUUACAAAUUACAAAACUACAAGUCGAUAUUAUCACCCUUCCUUCCCAUUUCUUUUAUUCGACAAAUAAAUAAAAACCAACAUUAAUACCUACCAAUGCGAAUAAAUUUAAAAAAAAACAUUUUUUUUUUCAUGGACAUGAAUAAAUUACAUAUUUUUAUAUCUUUUUUUUUUUAUAUUAAUAAUUCAAAAAUCAUAUUGUAUUUCUUUAGUUUUGGAGUGGGAAGGCUUGUUUUUGUGGAACUUGGUCUUGAUCCAUUUAAUGCCUUUGGAGGCACCUUUCUUUACCUUCUUUGCCGCACUUUUCGUUUUCUUCUUUGUUUUCUCCAUCGCCUCCGACGCCACCUCCUUUGUUCGUUCGAACGUCUCUUUCAGCCUCGUCGACAGCUUCGGCUGUGGGUCCCCCAGCCGCUUCGGCUGACGUGCAGCCGGCUCUGUGGCCGCGGUUUCCGCCCACGGGUUAACGUACGACAUUGAAUCACCGACGACCUGUUUUCGAGACCUCAAGAAAAGACUAGUGUUGGCGUCUUCCCUUGAGAGAAAAUUC